rnacentral:lncRNA from 1 species
UACAGUCAGUGGGAGAUUUUCAGAGGCGUGAAAGGGUUGCUCCUUCUCUCUGUAUCGCGGACUAGCACAGUUGAGUGGAUCGUUCCCAGACAUCAGCCCACAACAGGAGGCAGCAAAGAUGGAUCCCCAAUACAGCAUGGGACUGAACAGCCUUCUCCUUGUGAUGGCCCUCCUGCUCUCCGGUAAGAACCCUUUGGCUUUGUAAAGCCCUAGAAUCCUUCCACUUACUCCCUGUGAGUCUGAACUCU